UACGUAGGGUGCAAGCGUUAAUCGGAAUUACUGGGCGUAAAGCGUGCGCAGGCGGUGAUGUAAGACAGGUGUGAAAUCCCCGGGCUCAACCUGGGAACUGCAUUUGUGACUGCAUCGCUGGAGUGCGGCAGAGGGGGAUGGAAUUCCGCGUGUAGCAGUGAAAUGCGUAGAUAUCUGGAGGAACACCGGUGGCGAAGGCGGCAUCCUGGACCGGCAUUGACGCUGAGGCGCGAAAGCUAGGGGAGCAAACGGG
rnacentral:rRNA from 1 species